AUCGAUCUGACGAGUCCCAACUAGGACGAAACACGCGUCCUGAAU
rnacentral:hammerhead_ribozyme from 1 species